CAUUGACAGGCUGUCUUACAAUCUCUUUCUUGUAUUCAAGAUGCAGAUGGAUGUUAUUAGAAAGGUUUUUACUUCGAAUGUGCGCGGCUUGUCCACAUGGCUGAGAUUAGUGCUCAAUACUCAUAUAAAGCUUUUCAUCCUCAAAAGGACUUUACAAGCUCCAGCCCUCAAAACACCCCCACAAGAAUACUUUGAUGUUCCAUCUUAUCUCCCUCUUGUUUCCCUGAGAAAGAUAUCUGGACCCACAAAGUACUCUGGAGAAAAGGGAAAAGCAAGUAAUUUUCUGGUUUUAUGACUACUCUACGGUGUUUCAGUUACUGGAUAGUUUCUUCCUGGAAGAAUAGAUGGAACACAAAUCGAUGGAGUAUGGUAUCACUAAUUUAAGGAGAAGCUGGGGCGGAUGUUGACCUGAGAUCUGGAGCACACCUUCCCAGUGGGGGUGCCAGGAUAGAAGACCUCCCAUCACCACUUUUGCUCCUGAGGGAUGAGGGGCAGACCUGUACCAUGGUCACAAGCACAGAGGAAGUUUGUGUAGAUGUUCCAGAGCUUCAGAAACACACCUGACCUUCAAGAGUUGCUGCUGAUUUGUUCAGUGCUCACACAGUGUGUAGCACAGGCCUCCUGCUAUGCCUCCCGGGUGCUGCUGCAGUACAGCCACCUUUCCUUUUGUUUGGGCACCUUUAUCAGUACAGCUGAAGGGAACACUGUGUGGACUGUGAAUUCCUGUCCAAGAUCAUGCAAGUACUUGGACAGUACAUGCUGUUUCUCUAGUAUUAAUCUAACUAGCUAAAGCUGGUUUGCAUACAUCUGCAGCUACAGCAGAAGUUUAAUGAUAAAUAUUCCCAAAUGUAGCUAUGCAAAUAGUGGCAAAUUCUGAAUAAAUAUG